rnacentral:lncRNA from 1 species
GUCUUCCACCACUUUCUUUAAAUCUUUAUUCAAUCAUCACUUUAAGCUCUGUUGGAAAUCAUCCUCUAGGCUCGUUAAUGGUCCUCGUAAAAACAGGUCCGUUCAAUCUUUCUUCCUGAUUUCGUCUUUUUUUUCCCGAUUUGGUUCUAAAAGUUUAUGCUAUAAGUUGCUUAAUUUUGUGUGAUCCGGUUUAUAUUUUGAUUUUUGGAUAGGGGCUUUUUUUUUUUGCAGGUUGUCUUGACCUUGAAUUGUUAUAGCUGAGCGAGGUUUCAGUUUUGGCUACUAAAACAAGUUCUAAUCGUUCAAGUCUUUCACCAAUAGCUUAGGCUUUUUGAAACCCCUCCACUGGUAGGUACCAUUAUUCAAUGUUUUUCUUUUUUGCAAGAACCGUAUUUGUUUGAUAAGAUAUCUCAAUACUCACGCACACAUACACAUUAUAAUUAGCAUUUUCUUUAUAUUUAUUCCUUUUAUAUAUGUAGGCUUUUGCUUCACUUAUGGAGUCUCGUAAUCCGUAUAAUGUUUUUUUUUUUUUUUUUGUUUUAGCUUUAGAAUGAGCGUAGAUAAAUGAACUUCAUUAAGAUUUCUGUAAGGCAAUGAAUGGUCUGAUCAAAUUGGUCAAGCAUCAUGACUUUUGAGCACCUUAGGAUUUCUGGCAUGUUUGGCUAAGCUUUUUGAAACAACUUAUUGACUUAUUGGUUUUUUGAAAAGUCAUAAGCUCCAAAAUAAUGUUUGGCAAUGAGGGUGUAUGUGAGGAGAAAAAGCCAAUAAGUCAAUAAGUUGUUUCAAAAAGCUUAGCCAAACAUGCCCUUCAUCUUACCACUGUCUUUGUUUAUUUUUUUAGGACUAGCAGAAGUGGAGAUCCCUAUCUACAUUGUUUUCAACCGUUUUCCCAGGAAUGAACAAAUAUUAAAUCCAAACAGUGUAGUAUGAUGUUUAAUGUACACCGUAUACACGUUUAGUGAAUGUUUAUUGUAAGCAUAUGUAUGUUACAUGACAAACAAGGGUCAGACAUCGAUUUGGUUAGGUGAUGAGAGAUCUAUUUUAAUAAUUGUUUGUAGUAUUUCAUUUCGUGUACAAGAACAAACAAUAAGCAUACAACCACACUUUCUUAAUUUUUGUUCUAGUGUUUUUUCUAUAGUGGUUUGUCACCGCCAUGGCUUGCUUCUAGCUUUUGGGAGUGGAAAAGGAACUUGCUUUACAUGCCCUUAUCAUGUGAGUUAACUUCUACAAUCUGAGAAUUGUGUUUUCUUGGUUAGUUGGUGAAUCUUGAAAGUACAAGCAUGUACGAGCUUAGUUUUUUGCAGGUCUUUUGUGACAGUUACUUAUUAUAUGGCCGGUAUCGUGUACCUUUCGCACAUAAAGAUCUUGCAUCACGAUAAAUAAGUAUACUCUAUGGAUGGACACCAAUGAAGAAUGGUAUUUUGGAGAAUCUCAAAUCGAGAAUUUAGUG